AGAAUCAACGCUGGCGGCGUGCCUAACACAUGCAAGUCGCACGAGAAAGGGGCUUCGGCUCUGAGUAAAGUGGCGCACGGGUGAGUAACACGUGAAUUAUCUACCUCCGAGUGGGGAAUAACUGAGAGAAAUCUUAGCUAAUACCGCAUAACACUUACGGGUCAAAGCAGCAAUGCGCUUGGAGAGGAGUUCGCGGCCGAUUAGUUAGUUGGCGGGGUAAUGGCCCACCAAGACGAUGAUCGGUAUCCGGCCUGAGAGGGCGCACGGACACACUGGAACUGAAACACGGUCCAGACUCCUACGGGAGGCAGCAGUGGGGAAUUUUGCGCAAUGGGGGAAACCCUGACGCAGCAACGCCGCGUGGAGGAUGAAAUCCCUUGGGAUGUAAACUCCUUUCGAUAGGGAAGAUUAUGACGGUACCUAUAGAAGAAGCCCCGGCUAACUUCGCGCCAGCAGCCGC
rnacentral:rRNA from 1 species